UAAUACGAACUGUGCAAACGUUAUUCGGAAUCACUGGGCUUAAAGGGUGCGUAGGCGGCCAGAUAAGUAGGGUGUGAAAGCCCCCGGCUCAACCGGGGAAUGGCGCUCUAAACUGUCUGGCUGGAGUGAGAUAGGGGUGUGCGGAACUUCCGGUGGAGCGGUGAAAUGUGUUGAUAUCGGAAGGAACGCCGGUGGCGAAAGCGGCACACUGGAUCUCAACUGACGCUGAGGCACGAAAGCCAGGGGAGCAAACGGG
rnacentral:rRNA from 1 species